rnacentral:rRNA from 1 species
GACAGAGGGGGCAAGCGUUGCUCGGAAUCACUGGGCGUAAAGGGCGCGUAGGCGGGAUGGCAAGUCGGUCGUGAAAUCCUUCGGCUCAACCGAAGAACGUCGGCCGAUACUGCCGUUCUUGAGGGAUGCAGAGGAGAUUGGAAUUUCCGGUGUAGCGGUGAAAUGUGUAGAGAUCGGGAGGAACACCGGUGGCGAAGGCGGGUCUCUGGGCAUCUCCUGACGCUGAGGCGCGAAAGCGUGGGGAGCAAACGGG